AACGGCAGACACGGGAAUUCCAGAAGAUAAUAUCGUCAAUAUCAUCAGUUCUGACGACUGUCCUGAGAUUUAUUGAAAACAGGAUGCACAGCCUCUCAAUGGUUAAUGGCCCUGAGAACCAGUACAACGUCUCCCCGUGGAAUCAGGACCAGACGGUGAAGAGAACAUCCCUUGCGUCUGCACUAUGUCACCUCUCUCUGCUCAUUAGUGAGCCCCGUUUCCCACCUCAUCUCUGCCACAACCACUCCUGUCCUGCUUGGUGCCAUUGGAUUUCU